GUCUACAGCCAUAUCACCCUGAAUGCGUCUGAUCUUGUCUGAUGUCAGAAGCUAAGCAGGGUUGGGCCUGGUUAGUGCUUGGGUGGGAGAAUGUAAAAAUAUAGCUUGAUGAAAAAA
rnacentral:rRNA from 1 species